GAAGGGACCAGUCCUCUUGUGCCGUCCGUCAGCUCUCCCAGCAACCAGCCAUCCUCAUCCAUGUCUCCAAAGACGUAAACGUACUGUCCAGCGGUCAGUGGAAGCUCGUUUUCUGGGUCCUGAUUAGGGCCCUCAACAGGAUUGUAGCUGUGACGAGCUAAGAAUCUUCGAAUUAGUGGUGAUGUUUCACCGCGAGAAUGCAGGUUGCAGGCUGCCACCAGCCACACUUGCAACUCAUCCAGCCUUUGCCGUGGGUUGGAGCAUUCCUGUUUAGGAUUUCCAUGUGGCCUCAGCUUUCUCCCGAUCUCCUGGAGGCGCCUGCAUUUCUCCUCAAGCUGAUCGCUGAGUAUUACAAGUUUGGCCCCAGCCUGCAGGAGCCUCUGCUGCUCUUGGCAGUGUUCAGGAGGGCCUUCCACUCUCAGCAGGCAUGGCUGGGCCUUCCACUGCUGUAUGGGAUUUCCCUGUGGCCUCAGCUUUCUACCGAUCUGGAGCUGCCUGCAUAUCACCUGCAGCCGCUCUCUGAGCACUUCAAGUAUGGUCCCAGCCUGCUGGAGCCUCUGCAGCUCCUGGCACUCUUCAGUAAAGCCUUCCACUCUCAGCAGGCAGUGCUGGGCCUUCCAUUGCAUUUUGGGAUUUCCUUGUGGCCUCAGCUUUCUCCCAAUCUGGAGCUGCCUGCAUUUCUCCCCCAGCUGAUUGCUGAGUAUUGCAAGUAUGGCCCCAGCCUGCUGGAGCCUCUGCAGCUCCUGGCACUCGUCAGGAGGGCAUUCCUCUCUCAGAAGGCAGUGCUGGGCCUUCCAUUGCUGCUGUGGAUUUCCCUGUGGCCUCAGCUCUCUCCCGAUGUCCUGGAGCUGCCUGAAUUUGUCCUGCAGCCUCUCACUGAGCACUCCAAGUUUGGCCCCAGCCUGCUGGAGCCUCUGCAGCUCCUGGCCCACUUCUGCAGAGCGUCCCUCUCUCAGCAGGCAGUGAGACAAGGCAGACUUCUCCUUUCCAAGGAGUCUGCCUUGUCUCUGUAGAUCCUUCAGCAGAUCCCUGAGCAGAUGGGCGUUCUGCU
rnacentral:lncRNA from 1 species